UACAGAGGUCUCAAGCGUUUGUUUCGGAUUCAGUUGGGCGUAAAGGGUGCGUAGGCGGCGCGGUAAGUCGGGGUGUCGAAAUCUCGGAGCUUAACUCCGAAACUGCAUUCGAUACUGCCGUGGCUUGAGGACUGGAGAAGGAGACUGGAAUUUACGGUGUAGCGGUGAAAUGCGUAGAUAUCGUAAGGAAGACCAGUGGCGAAGGCGGGAUCUC
rnacentral:rRNA from 1 species